rnacentral:rRNA from 1 species
UUUAAAGAUUCUUCUUUUAAAGAAGUGUAUGAUCUCGGAAGCUAAGCAGGGUCGGACCUGGUUAGUACUUGGAUGGGAGUCCACCUUGGAAGACCAGGUGCUUUAGGC